CACCAGCCCUUGAAGCACUGGACAGCAUGCAUCCUUGGCACUGCUGCCAAUUCCAAUGUGAAUGAGGCCACCCAACACAUCCACACAAGCUCCCAACUUGAGAGUGUCGAUGGGACACGUGUUCUUUGGUGGUGAUGGGGUUGGCACUGGUGUUGGUGGUGGUGGAGGAGGACAUGGUGUCUCAGUGGGUGGAGGAGGCUUAACUGGUACAACUGGGGUAGGUGUAGGUGUUGGUGGGCUUGGUGGUACAACAGGUGGUGAUGGUGGUGGCUUAACUGGUACAACUGGGGUAGGUGUUGGUGUUGGUGGGCUUGGUGGUACAACAGGUGGUGAUGGUGGUGGCUUAACUGGUACAACUGGGGGCUUGGGUACAUAGGGUGGUGGGGGUUGUACAACUGGGGGCUUGGGUACAUAUGGUGGUGGUGGUUGUACAACUGGGGGUUUGGGGAUGAAGGGUGGGUGCACAAUUGGGGGUUUAGGGAUAAAAGGUGGGUGCACGAUUGGGGGCUUGGGGAUGAAGGGUGGGUGCACAAUUGGGGGCUUGGGGAUGAAGGGUGGGUGCACAAUUGGGGGUUUAGGGAUGAAGGGUGGGUGCACAAUUGGGGGUUUAGGGAUGAAGGGUGGGUGCACAAUUGGGGGUUUAGGGAUGAAGGGUGGGUGCACAAUUGGGGGCUUGGGGAUGAAGGGUGGGUGCACAAUUGGGGGCUUGGGGUGGGGUGGUGGUUUGACAAUAGGAGGCUUGGGGAUGAAGGGAGGUCUCACAAUAGGUGGUUUGGGGACAGAAGGAGGUUUUGGUAUAUGGGGAGGAUAUACAAUGGGGGGUUUGGGGCCAUGAGGUGGCUUGGGUACAUGGGGUGGAUGAGGAUGAGGUGGCUUUGAUGGUGGCUUGGGAACAUAGGGAGGCUUUACAUGAGGGGGAUGGGGUGGUUUUGAUGGUGGUUUGGGAACAUAGGGAGGCUUUACAUGAGGAGGAAGAGGUGGUUUUGAUGGUGGUUUGGGAACAGAGGGAGGCUUUACAUGAGGGGGAUGAGGUGGGUGUUUAGGUGGUUUAGGGAUGAAGGGUGGCUUUACAUGAGGAGGCUGUUUGGGUGGCAAGUGUGGAGGGUAUGUUGGUGGUGGACAGUAGGAGUUAGCAAGAGAAGUGAGCAAACUACCCAAAUUCACAAUGAGGACUAAGAGCAAAGCCAGGGUAUAAUUCCCCAUGUUCAAAACUCCACAACCCUCAAAAGAGUUGGGUUGUUUAAGACCGGAUAUUGAAACCCAACACCAUGCAAAAGCCUUCUUAUAGAGAUAUGGUGAGACAAGUUGUGAGUGAGUAUGUACAUAAGAGAGAGAGAGAGAGAGAGAGAGAGAGAGAGAGAGAGAGAGAACACAAUCCUGUACCUUUCUUUGUGGUACCAACUAAAGAUAUAUAAAACUAUUAAUCUCUGUGCAUAAUUAAUUAAUUUGUCAAAUUGCCAAGAUGCACAUUGAAUUGAGGUCUCUCCAAACUCCAAACUUCAACUUGAUCAGUAUCAAAUUCACCACAAACAAAAGGGAGGAAUUGAGUCACUUUCUUCCUUUACAUUCAGAACCAAGUAGGGCACUGCAAUCACUGACUUAAACUGUAGACAAAAGUAUUCAGCUUUUAAGGAGAAAAGGAUCAAGAAAACGCGGUUUUGUGAUAGAGGCAAGUUUUAACAUGUAGUGAGAGCCUUGCAAGUGACUAUUCAACCCGUGAUUGAGGUUUUGAUGCCAAGCCACAUGUGAGGCUUUCAUUGACAACAUUUUCUUGCAUUAAAAAAUUCUAAGGGUACAAAAGAGGCCUUAGACUUUUUCUACUUAAAGCACAUGGUUUUUCCUUUUUUCAUUUUUUGGGGGUUUUCUCCCGAAUAGACGAGUCCAUUAAUGCUACAAUGUUUUAGUCUAAGAAAUAUUCCUAUAUGAAUAGACCGUACAAUUGUAUUUGAGUGUCGGUUAUCUUAAUUUAUUAUUUUUUAUAUAAACGAUAUUGUAUUUUAAUUUAAUCCAUACUAUAAAAAGAAUUAUUUAAAUUUAGAUACAAAAUAAAGAACACAUUUGUUCUAACUAACUUAAUUAAUCCUAUGUGUGCAAUUAUUUUUUACAAUUAAACAACUCGAUUUGAUGUAGGAAUUUUCCUUGUACAAUUUAACUUGCUCGCUUUGCAAUUUCAUUUCAAAAAAGUAUAUGCAUGGCCUAGCCAUCAUGUCUUUCAAAUCAACAGCUCAUCAUAGGGCAUCUUUUUAAAAUGAGGGUAAUGCUGGCUUCACAUGCAGCUGCACAAUAAUUUCAAGAAUUAUUAAUCGUACCUAGCAUUGUUAGCAAGACAUUUAGGGCUGUAAUUAUGUGAAAAGUGAUGUUCGCCGAAUCAAUUAUAUAAGGAGAACUUACUGCAAAACAACUCUGUGUGGAACCCAUCUACUUGUUCUUUGUUUUUUUUAGGUCUGAAGUCCAUCUACUUGUUCACUCCACGCCAUUGAAGUGUAGUCUAUCUAAAAUGGUAAGGGUGCCCUAGUUUAGGCGUAAGUACUAUGUGCAGGGUUUUGGGUUUUUCUUUGUAGACAAAAACCUAGAAGUAUCAUAUCUACAUUGUUCUGACUAUUAAAAAAUUAGACAAAGGGGUAAUGAUUAUGCCAAAAUGAAUUUCAACAUCACUUUCGACCGACAAAAUUUCAUUUGCUUAUAUCGAAGCUCGUAUUGAAAUUUAUUAAUUUUAACAAAGUUAGAAUAUGUCAUCUGUCACGUAAUUUGGUGAAUAAAUUUUAUCUUUCGGUGCCUCUACAAUAUUAAAGCAUCAAAUAGUGCAAAUCAUGACAUCUUAUUUCAACGUUCAUUAACAGACCUUCAUACAAUCAAGGCAUCGGAUGCAAGUAGGGUGGUAGAUUUUUUCCCCUUUUCAACCCAAUAAUAUGAGUUAAAACAAUUAUAUGUGGAACACAAUAACACCGCUUUAAUAAUUCUAUCUAAAAGGGUAUAUGCGACAGCUGGCCAAGAGGUAUAUUCCAUGUACACAAAAUGUUACUUUCAACUACAUGCCAAUAUUUCUACAGCGAAAAUUCCAAAUCAACAUGCAAAGGGAAAAUGAAAUGGGAUGUACUUGCUGUAGUGCCUGUUUGGAUAGAAAGAAAGGAAAAGAAAAGAAAAGAAAAUUCAUUUCUUGGAGAAACCAGAAAUUGAGUUUUUCGUCCUUAUUUUCGAAGUGUCGCAAUCAAGUUUUUUUGAUAUAUUGAUGAGUCAUCCAUUGUAGAAGAAAUGGCAUCCAUCAAAACCUGCCACCAUUAAAAUCCAUGCAAAUCCACUUGUUACAAUUAUAUGAAGUCACUUGUGCAAAGCGACAUAUGAAUUUAAAGGGCGAUAAAGCCGAUGUAAUAUAUGUAGGGUCAGGCUGAGACUACUUUGUCUCCAAAUCUUUAACCAAAUCUAAUUUAACACUAAUUAUUAUUGCUCACUACAUCAAGUAAGAAAGAUUAAUAGUAUUUUUCGGUGUGAAUGCAUAAACGUAUCUGUGGAUUCUUAUUAUUUCGAUGUGAGCUUACAGCUUAGCAUAUUAACCUCACUUCAUAUAAAAAUUAUCUCCAAUCCUGAGGUCUAACUUUAUAAAAAAAAAUGAAAAUGACUUUGUAGGUCCAAAUCAAAAUGCAACGUGCCGACAAACACGGACUUAGUCAAGUUGGUUAAAGUGAAUGUGCUAUUCUCACUUUGCAUUCGAUUUCAAAUUCCCCUCCUUAUGAUUUAGAUUAGAUCUAAGUAAAACAUUGCUUAUAUAUAAAAGCAAUAUGCAGCUGUAUGCAGAAGAUUUGGUUGAAUAAUUGCUCUAUAUAAAAUAAUAGGUAAAGUACCUUGAUUAUCUUUUUUCCAACAACCCUGUUCCCUAUAUCUGCCCAUUGUUUAUAUCAUAAUCAAUCAAUUAAUUGAUUAACAACACCAAAUUCUUGAUACCUUCAGCAAAGACACGAUAUUUUCUACCCAAUUUAGUUUGUCGUUUGAAGAAAAAGAAGAAGGAAAAAAAAAACAUUUAGUUUGUCAGAUCAUAUCUUAUAGCAUGAGUGUUAUAUUUAAAACUAUAUAAGAAGGGGCAAAAUUUGGACAUACUUGGAUCAACUGUAACAAUCAUGGCAGUCCCUCCAAAAUCACAAGUGCCACCGGCAGCCCUGGUGCUCUGCCAGUAGCUGUUGAAGGCGUACGAAGCGUGGGACAACAAUGUGUCUGGUUUAUAGCAGGACCCAUUGGGCUGGAUUGACUUGCAGUCUGCACCAGACCCACACGCAUAGUCCAGGGCCUCUUGGACUAUUGGGCCAGGCACGGCUGGCUUGGCCACACACCACACCGCGCCAGACUGUGGUGGCUUUUUUCGUGGAGGGCUUGUGGGCCCUGAUGGUGGAGGGUAAGCUACAGGUGGGGCCAAGGCUGGUGGGCCUGGGAUAGGCUUGGGUGGGGAUGGAGGAUUUUUGGGUGGGCCUGGAAUUGUGGUGGGUGGGCCAGGUGGGUGAGGGGUGGGCCCAUUUGCAGGUGGUGGUUUUGGGAUGGGUGAGCAAGUGGGUGCAGAAGAUGAAGGGGAGGAGGAAGAUGAAGGAGUAUUUGGUUGAGGUGGGUUUUGGGAAAAUGGUGGAUUUGCACAGUAUGGAGGAAGAGGAACAUUUCCAGGCAAGGGAAGUGGUGCCAGUGAAUCAAAGGGUGGGAAAGAGAAGGGAGGACUUACCUCUAGUGGCUUAACAUUUGAGGAAGGCAAUGGUAAAUCUAACUCUAAGUGAUUUAUUGCUUUCAGCUUCUUCUCUAAUUCUGUGUCUUGGGAUUUUAAGAAUUGUGCAAAAAUUCUUGCAUCUGCUCUAAAACAAAGUCACAUAAUAAGUUGUUAAAAUUGUUCAAGUAGUGUGUCUUUGGAAAACCCAAAUAAAUAAAUAAAUUCUUGCUUACCACAUAAAAUGGAGAAAGUUGUGAAUGAAAUGGAGAUGAUGGCCAAUCUCAUGUAAGACAUUGUGGGCUGCAUCUCUUGAAAAGCCAAUGUGAUUAAAGGCAAAAUACCCAGAAGAAGCUGACUGAAAAUUUUGUGCUUAUUUAAUUCAUCCCUCAAGCAAACACUUGGGAUAAGUAUAUAUAGGCAGAUGCUUAGGCAGGCCAGAGAUGUGUGGGAGUGGUAACAAAAGGCGGUGGCCAUAAAGGAAAAUUAUCAACAUAGAGAGACUAAAGGAGAUUCCUGUGUCACAACUUUGUAGCCUAAGACUCAAAAAUAGUGUAAGAUAUACAACAUGCAGAGGACAAAGGUGAGGGAGAGAGAGACUAGAGAGUGUUGGUUUUGGAGAGGUGUACAAGAAACUUUUCUCCCUUUUUGCAUCUUCCUUUGAAUAUAUUCUUGCUUGGCAGUGGAGAAAUAUGAACAGUGGAGUUUUCUGCACUUUUAUUUGCUUGCUUUCCACUCAAAGUGAAACAAACUUCCACUCUGUUAAAGUAUAAGAGAUUUAGCUGAGUUUGUUACUUAAAUUAUGAGCCUUUGGAUCACAGUCCAAAUGGACAGCUAGGAUGUAUUCUUAGGUGUAGUUGAUUUGUGCCAAGUGUAGCUAUCUCAUAGGGUAGUUAAUGAUUGGUUAGAUUUGCUGAUGUAAGAGAGAAUAUUCUUUUCUUUUACUGUUAUAUUGGUAUGCACAGAUUGUGCAUGACUAAGUGUGAGAAUACAAUCUGAUAUUUUCAUCUUCUUCUUCUCCACGUUUUCUCUCUACAUUUUACUAGAGCUCCAUUCACCUAUAAUCCAAAAACAUGGCAGAUCAUAGUCUGCAAAUGCUAACAUGGUAUCACUGAGCCAGGUUUGAUCGUUUAGCUGGGCGUUUGAAUCUGUGAAGGAAGUGAGCUGCGUUUUCUAUCAAAUCUUGCUCUCUGUGAAAUCUGUGUCUAACAUGGCAGGAUCUGGAGGUGGUGAGCUGCGUGCUCCAAUCUUCAAUGGUGAGAACUAUGAAUUCUGGAGCAUAAGGAUGAAAACCAUUUUCAAAUCUCAUGGGAUUUGGGAGCUGGUUGAGAGAGGAAUAGAAGGCUCAGAUUCGAAGGGAGCUGAUGAAUCUGAUACAAAACAAAAGGAAAAAGAGGAAUCAAGUGGUUCUGGGAAGAUGGCUAUAGCUGAGAUCCUGAUGAAGGAUGCUAAGGCCUUGGGGUUGAUUCAAGGAGCAGUAUCUGAGGUGAUCUUCCCCAGGAUUUCUCAUGAAGAAUCAUCUCAUGGAGCCUGGAACAUCCUGAAGCAGGAAUUUCAUGGUGAUAAGCAGGUAAGAAGUGUAAAACUGCAGGGACUUCGUAGAGAAUUUGAAUACACUAGAAUGAGAGAGGAUGAAUCUCUAUCUGCUUAUCUUACAAAGUUGUUUGAUCUAAUAAACCAAAUGAGAGGUUAUGGGGAAGAACUAUCUAGAGAAAGAAUUGUGCAGAAAAUGUUAAUUAGUCUGCUGCCUGGAUAUGAUCCAAUCUGUUCUGUGAUUGAACAUUCAAGGGAUCUAGAUGUAAUUGAGGUUCAAGAGGUGGUAGCCUCAUUGAAGAGCUUUGCUCAAAGGUUGGAAAGACAUCAUGAGAACAAAACUGAGAAGGCCUUUGCUAGUCUGAGUACAGAUACCAAAUCUGCUAAGGCCACUGGAAAUCAGAAUUCCAAGCAGCAGAAGACUUGGAAAGACAAAGGGAAGAAGUGGGAUAAUAAACCUACGGAUGGAACUAAAACUCCUUGCAAACAUUGUGGGAAAUUGCAUUAUGGAGAAUGUAGGUUCAAGGGCAAACCAAAGUGCUAUAACUGUGACAAGCUUGGUCACAUUGCCAAAGACUGCUAUAGCAAGAAACCUGAACAGCAGCAGCAGCUUCAGUUUGCUACUCAGGUUACUUCUUCACCAACCAUGUUCUAUGCUAACAAUGCAACUGAGAAAAGGUCCAUGGAAGAGGUAUGGUACUUGGACAGUGGGUGUAGUAACCACAUGACUGGCAGAGAAGAUGUUUUGAUUGAUAUUGAUAGGAAUGUGACUGCAAAAGUUGCUAUGGGAACAGGACAGUUGGUUGAUGUUAUUGGAAAAGGAAGCCUGAUGGUUCAAACUAAAAUGGGAAGGAAAUAUAUCAAGGAGGUGCUAUUGGUAUCUGGUCUCAAAGAGAACCUACUCAGCGUUGGACAAAUGAUGGAGCAUGGAUAUUUCCUAAUUUUUGGAGAUAAUAAGGCAGAAGUCUAUGAUGAUAGCUCUCUUUCAAAUCUAGUGGCUAGAGUGGAUAUGAAAGGAAAUAGAAGUUUUCCUUUGAAACUUCAAACAGAUUUACAUAUUGCUCUAACUGCAAGCAUUAACCAAUCAACCUUGCUUUGGCAUAGGAGAAUGGGGCACUUAAACUUGCAGAGUUUGAAACUGCUGCAGAAUGAAGACAUGGUGUUUGGUCUGCCAGAAAUCAAAAAUACAAAUGCAGUGUGUGAAGGCUGUACUUUUGGAAAACACUGCAGGAAGGCAUUUCCAAAAGAAGCAACCAGCAGAGCUACAUCUCCACUGGAAUUGGUACACACUGAUGUGUGUGGACCAAUGCAAACUGUUACCAAAGCAGAAAACAGGUAUUUCCUCACCUUUAUAGAUGACUGUACAAGAAUGUGCUGGAUCUAUUUCUUGAGAUGCAAAUCUGAGGUAUUCACAGUGUUUAAGAGGUUUAGAGCCACUGUUGAAUUGCAAAGUGGAUAUAAGGUGAAGAAACUAAGAAGUGAUAGGGGAGGAGAGUACACCUCUAAUGAGUUCAAUAAAUUCUGUGAUGAAAUGGGAAUGGAGAGGCAGCUUACAGUGGCAUACUCACCACAGCAGAAUGGUGUGGCUGAGAGGAAAAACAGAACCAUAGUGGAGAUGGCCAAGUGUAUGAUGAUUGAGAAGGGCAUGCCACUUGAGUUUUGGGCAGAAACUGUUAAUACUGCAGUGUAUAUUCUAAACCGAAGUCCAACUAAAGCUCUGGACAAGAAAACACCAUUUGAAGCCUAUAGUGGGAGAAAGCCAGGACUUAAACACUUAAGAGUGUUUGGAUCUUUGUGCUAUGCACAUGUUCCAAAUCCACAGAGGCAGAAACUGGAUUCAGCAAGCAACAGAUGUGUGUUUCUAGGAUAUGGCAGCUGUGAGAAAGGGUAUAGACUGUAUAACAUUGCCACUGAAAAGGUGAUUAUCUCAAGGGAUGUGGUAUUUAAUGAAGAAGCUAGCUGGGAUUGGAAUGCAAAGCAAGAAUGCAGUGUUUCAGUGCCAUUUACUGAAGUUGUGUCUGAAAAGGAGAAAGGGAGCAAUGACACAGCUGUGAAGCAAGCAGAACAUUCAGUUGAGAAUGAAUUGCUAACAGAAGACAAUGAAGAAAGAUCUGUGGUUGAUACAGGUACUCAAGAUAUUGACCACACUCCAUUGAGAUACAAAAGUCUUACAGAGAUCUAUGAAAGCUGCAACAUCUGCAUCAUUGAACCAGAAUCCUUUGAAGAAGCUGUCAAGGAUGCAGCAUGGCAAAAGGCAAUGGAAGCAGAACUUGAGAUGAUAGAAAAGAAUGAAACUUGGGAUUUGGUAAAAAGACCAUCUGAUAAACCUAUAGUUGGUGUCAAAUGGAUCUUUAAAGUCAAGCUAAAUCUGGAUGGUUCUGUUCAGAAAAACAAAGCAAGGCUAGUAGCUAAAGGCUACACUCAAAAGCCAGGAAUUGAUUUCAAUGAGACAUUUGCACCUGUUGCUCGGCUUGACACAGUUAGAACACUGAUUGCUCUGGCUGCUCAGAAAAGGUGGAAACUGUUUCAGCUUGAUGUAAAGUCAGCCUUCUUAAAUGGAGUGCUACAAGAGG
rnacentral:lncRNA from 1 species